GGGAGGAUGCUAGAAUGGUAAUAGGACUGAUUGCUAUUCAGUUGUCAAUUUAUGACUUGUUGGUUCGAAUCCAACUCCUUCCGCUA
rnacentral:tRNA from 1 species